CCUACGGGGUGCAGCAGUGAGGAAUAUUGGUCAAUGGGCGCGAGCCUGAACCAGCCAAGUAGCGUGAAGGAUGACUGCCCUACGGGUUGUAAACUUCUUUUAUAAAGGAAUCACGUGAGGCACGUGUGCCUUUUUUUAUGUACUUUAUGAAUAAGGAUCGGCUACCUCCGUUCCAGCAGCCGCGGGUAUACGGAGGAUCCGAGCGUUAUCCGGAUUUAUUGGGUUUAAAGGGAGCGUAGAUGGGUUGUUAAGUCAGUUGUGAAAGUUUGCGGCUCAACCGUAGAAUUGCAAUUGAUACUGGCAGCCUUGAGUACAGUUGAGGUAGGCGGAAUUCGUGGUGUAGCGGUGAAAUGCUUAGAUAUCACGAAGAACUCCGAUUGCGAAGGCAGCCUACUAAACUGCCACUGACAUUGAUGCUCGAAAGUGUGGGUAUCAAACAGGAUUAGAUACCCCAGUAGUC
rnacentral:rRNA from 1 species